UACGAAGGGGGCUAGCGUUGCUCGGAAUCACUGGGCGUAAAGCGCACGUAGGCGGGUCCUUAAGUCAGGGUGAAAUCCCGGAGCUCAACUCCGGAACUGCCUUUGAUACUGGGGAUCUUGAGUCCGGAAGAGGUGAGUGGAACUCCGAGUGUAGAGGUGAAAUUCGUAGAUAUUGGAAGAACACCAGUGGCGAAGGCGGCUCACUGGUCCGGUACUGACGCUGAGGUGCGGAAGCGUGGGGAGCAAACAGGG
rnacentral:rRNA from 1 species